rnacentral:rRNA from 1 species
UGCAGUCGAACGGCAGCACAGGAGAGCUUGCUCUCUGGGUGGCGAGUGGCGGACGGGUGAGGAAUACAUCGGAAUCUACUUUUUCGUGGGGGAUAACGUAGGGAAACUUACGCUAAUACCGCAUACGACCUACGGGUGAAAGCAGGGGAUCUUCGGACCUUGCGCGAUUGAAUGAGCCGAUAUCGGAUUAUCUAGUUGGCGGGGUAAAGGCCCACCAAGGCGACAAUCCGUAGCUGGUCUGAGAGGAUGAUCAGCCACACUGGAACUGAGACACGGUCCAGACUCCUACGGGAGGCAGCAGUGGGGAAUAUUGGACAAUGGGCGCAAGCCUGAUCCAGCCAUACCGCGUGGGUGAAGAAGGCCUUCGGGUUGUAAAGCCCUUUUGUUGGGAAAGAAAUCCAGCUGGCUAAUACCCGGUUGGGAUGACGGUACCCAAAGAAUAAGCACCGGCUAACUUCGUGCCAGCAGCCGCGGUAAUACGAAGGGUGCAAGCGUUACUCGGAAUUACUGGGCGUAAAGCGUGCGUAGGUGGUCGUUUAAGUCCGUUGUGAAAGCCCUGGGCUCAACCUGGGAACUGCAGUGGAUACUGGGCGACUAGAGUGUGGUAGAGGGUAGCGGAAUUCCUGGUGUAGCAGUGAAAUGCGUAGAGAUCAGGAGGAACAUCCAUGGCGAAAGCAGCUACCUGGACCAACACUGACACUGAGGCACG